rnacentral:rRNA from 1 species
UACGGGGGGGGCAAGCGUUGUUCGGAAUUACUGGGCGUAAAGGGCUCGUAGGCGGCCAACUAAGUCAGACGUGAAAUCCCUCGGCUUAACCGGGGAACUGCGUCUGAUACUGGAUGGCUUGAGUUUGGGAGAGGGAUGCGGAAUUCCAGGUGUAGCGGGGAAAUGCGUAGAUAUCUGGAGGAACACCGGUGGCGAAGGCGGCAGCCUGGACCAACACUGACGCUGAGUGAGCGAAAGCCAGGGGAGCAAACGGG